rnacentral:siRNA from 1 species
UAGGUGAACAAUGAAACUAAACGC